rnacentral:rRNA from 1 species
AGAUAAGUGCACCCUGAACGCACCAGAUCUUGUCUGAUCUCAGAAGCUAAAAUAGAUAAGUGUUCACUUAUUCAUUUAUUUA